GCCAGGUGAGCACCCUAUACCUUGAGCCCUGCUCUCCAGGCCCACCCUGUUGGGCUUACAAAGGAAGUUCACCUUUGACCUCACCUGCUGUCCUGAGUCCCCUCUGGGCCUCUGCCCCACCUGGCUGUGGGCCGCAGUCCCGGGCCCUGAGGCCUGUUGUGCUGUGGUCCCAGCCCAGCUUCUGGGUGGCAUUCCUCUUAGGAGAAAGAGAGGGACGUUCUGAACCUGCCUCCUGGGGGUGCGACCUCCCCCAAACUCCAGAACCAGCCUCUGCUGUGGAGGGCAGGGCUAGGCAGUGGGCAGGUGGAGGGGAGGGGAGAAGCUCCUCUGCAGGUGCCCAGGCAUGACCCCCAUCAGGGCCCUGCAGUUCUGCGUGGCCAGCUGGCAGCAGGGCCUGCUCUGGAUCCCGGCGACGACAUUAUGAGUUGAAGAAAGAAGAGUAAAGCUCUCGGAGAGGCGCUCUGGGCUUGGUCCUGGGACACCCGUUUGACACUGUAAAGGUGAGGCUGCAGACCCAGACCACCUACCGGGGCAUCGUUGAUUGCAUGGUCAAGAUUUACCGCCAUGAGUCCCUCCUGGGCUUCUUCAAGGGAAUGAGCUUCCCCAUUGCCAGCAUAGCUGUGGUCAACUCUGUCCUGUUUGGGGUCUAUAGCAACACCCUGCUGGUGCUCACGGC
rnacentral:lncRNA from 1 species